rnacentral:rRNA from 1 species
CAGUAGCCGCGGUAAUACAGAGGGUGCGAGCGUUAAUCGGAUUUACUGGGCGUAAAGCGUGCGUAGGCGGCUAAUUGAGUCGGAUGUGAAAUCCCUGAGCUUAACUUAGGAAUUGCAUUCGAUACUGGGAAGCUAGAGUAUGGGAGAGGAUGGUAGAAUUCCAGGUGUAGCGGUGAAAUGCGUAGAGAUCUGGAGGAAUACCGAUGGCGAAGGCAGCCAUCUGGCCUAAUACUGACGCUGAGGUACGAAAGCAUGGGGAGCAAACAGGAUUAGAUACCCGCGUAGUCCCUGUCUCUUAUAA